GCACAGGAAGGCAGGAGGGAAUAGGACUGUGGGCUCAGCCAAAUGGGUCACUGUCUGGUCAAGUAAGACUGCCUCUAACACUCAGUCCAAGUGAUGCUCAUUCUCCCAGUUGGCUGAACAUGGCAACCAGACCUUCCAUGGGAGAUUUGCUUCAGUGCUCCACAGCCAUUCAUGGAAGAAGGUGGCUUGAGCCCUUCUAUUAGGAUGGCUGCAUAGUCCAUCUUGGAAGGCUGACCUCACCCAAGUGUGCCACAGAAGAUGCUGAGCUUGAAGGAAUCAUAUAGUGUCUCCAUAGUAACCAGAGGGGCCAAUGGUAACAAAGCAGUGUGGUGGUGUUCUGGAAAAGCCCAAGAAACGUAGCUUGACUGUCACAGUAAGAAGAGGUGGCAGUUAAAUAAUGUCUGAACCUGAAUUUUGAACACUUUCAGAAGUGGGNNNNNNNNNNNAGAAUUAAAAUGUUCACAUAUAUCUCAUUUAAUCCUAAAGUCAUUGUUUUCCAAGUUCUUGAAUUGGCUAGUCCUUUGAUAAAGCAAACUAUCCAACAAGAUCACCAAAGAUUCCACUCAAAUUAAUAAAAGUAACCACUACAGAAUACAAUUUAUUAAAAUAGCUUUGGUUUCUCUACCUUUCUCCACCAAUUCUUUUCACAGAGGUAUCCAGCUAUGUGGGAUUUCCUUAUGUUAGGAAUUUUGGUAGAGAUGAAAGCAAAAAGACUCCCAAGUAAUUUUUUUUUUGAAAUUUAUAAAAGCCAAAGUCCUUUGAAGAGAUAAUGUUAAUCUCUUAGUAUGAGACCAUAUGGAUUGAAUUUUUUUUUUUUUGAGGGCAAGGAAAGAGAAGAAAGAUUGCCCAAGGUUGAAAAGAUUCCUUUCCUCCAAGCAGGUCUGAACUUUCUCUCUUGCAGGAGCCCUUCUAUUAGGAUGGCUGCAUAGUCCAUCUUGGAAGGCUGACCUCACUCAAGUGUGCCACAGAAGAUGCUGAGCUUGAAGGAAUCAUAUAGUGUCUCCAUAGUAACCAGAGGGGCCAAUGCUCUUCUGUUAAGGGUGUUCCACACCCCUCCGCCCAUCCUUUUUCAUGUCCUCAAGGAUCAGACAGGCUCCUGUAAGUCCCCACUCACUCUUGCAUCAUCCAUUUCUCCCUCCCUCCCUGCUGCAUUAUUCCAACAAUACUAUAGAACCUUCAAACUCGAAAACCCUUAUGUCUUGCCUCAGCUACUGGCCCAAUUCUGUGCUCCCAUUCAUGAAAACGUGUGCAGUAUUUGUCUGUACUCAGUGUCCCCAAGAAGGACUCAUGUCCCUUCUUGCUAUUUAACAGAUGGAUAG
rnacentral:lncRNA from 1 species